rnacentral:rRNA from 1 species
GACGAACGCUGGCGGCGUGCUUAACACAUGCAAGUCGAACGGAAAGGCCCUGCUUUUGUGGGGUGCUCGAGUGGCGAACGGGUGAGUAACACGUGAGUAACCUGCCCUUGACUUUGGGAUAACUUCAGGAAACUGGGGCUAAUACCGGAUAGGAGCUCCUGCUGCAUGGUGGGGGUUGGAAAGUUUCGGCGGUUGGGGAUGGACUCGCGGCUUAUCAGCUUGUUGGUGGGGUAGUGGCUUACCAAGGCUUUGACGGGUAGCCGGCCUGAGAGGGUGACCGGCCACAUGGGGACUGAGCUACGGCCCAGACUCCUACGGGAGGCAGCAGUGGGGAAUAUUGCACAAGGGGCGGAAGCCUGAUGCAGCAACGCGGCGUGCGGGAUGACGGCCUUCGGGUUGUAACCCGCUUUCGCCGGUGACGAAGCGUGGGUGACGGUAAUGGGUAAAGAAGCACCGGCAACUUCCGU